rnacentral:rRNA from 1 species
AACGAACGCUGGCGGCGUGGAUAAGACAUGCAAGUCGAACGGGGGUUGUAGCAAUACAGCUUCAGUGGCGAACGGGUGCGUAACACGUGAACAAUCUGCCGGGAAGAUGGGAAUAGCCCAGGGAAACUUGGAUUAAUGCCCUGUGUGGCCGAAGGUGGCAUCACCUGAAGGCUGAAGGCGCUUUACGGCGCCGCUUCCUGAUGAGUUCGCGGCCUAUCAGCUAGUUGGCGGGGUAACGGCCCACCAAGGCGAUGACGGGUAGCCGGUCUGAGAGGAUGACCGGCCACACUGGAACUGAGACACGGUCCAGACACCUACGGGUGGCAGCAGUCGAGAAUCAUUCACAAUGGGCGAAAGCCUGAUGGUGUGACGCCGCGUGGAGGAUGAAGGUCUUCGGAUUGUAAACUCCUGUCAAGUGGGGGUAAGGCACUGCGAGGAAAUGCGCGUGUGCUUGAGAGUACCACUAGAGGAAGGGACGGCUAACUUCGUGCCAGCCGCCGCGGUAAAAC